rnacentral:sRNA from 1 species
CUGUGGAAGAAGCUAUGUCAGUACCAUUUUGCUGAAAAGCAGUUUUGUAGACAUUUGAUCCUUUCAGAAAAAGGUCAUAUUGAAUGGAAGUUGAUGUACUUUGCACUUCAGAAACAUUACCCAGCGAAGGAGCAGUACGGAGACACGCUGCAUUUCUGUCGGCACUGCAGCAUUCUCUUUUGGAAGGACUACCAUCUUGCUUUACUAUUCAAGGUACUUCCCCAUCUUGCCACACAUCCUGUGUUCGGGAUGAAAACGUUGCAUCGUGCUGCAUCUCAUGCACGUCAUCCUGGCCACUGCCCGGCUCGAUUCCAGCUCUCGCUGACUUGAGCUUUCACAGGACCCUGAGCAGGGCUGAGUGGCCACUUUGAUCACCUCAGCAAGGACGAGAGUGUUUAUGAAAUAUUUUGCAGAACAACACCUGAGUGCUGAGGGAGGGUGCUAGAUGUGCCCAUAAACACUUCACCACACAGCACCUGGGUUGGCAGCACUGCCAGGGCAUGCCAUGGAGAGACCCAGCACUGACCCCAGAGCCUCUGGUCCCAUUUACCUACGUUCCUCCUAAGAUUCUGCCAGUCUUCAUCCACAAAAUUAAUUUUUCUGUCGUCACUUCUCAUAUUAAAUAUAAUUCUGGAUCCUUAGG